rnacentral:rRNA from 1 species
GAUGAACGCUGGCGGCGUGCCUAAUACAUGCAAGUCGAGCGAACAGACGAGGAGCUUGCUCCUCUGACGUUAGCGGCGGACGGGUGAGUAACACGUGGAUAACCUACCUAUAAGACUGGGAUAACUUCGGGAAACCGGAGCUAAUACCGGAUAAUAUAUUGAACCGCAUGGUUCAAUAGUGAAAGACGGUUUUGCUGUCACUUAUAGAUGGAUCCGCGCCGCAUUAGCUAGUUGGUAAGGUAACGGCUUACCAAGGCGACGAUGCGUAGCCGACCUGAGAGGGUGAUCGGCCACCCUGGAACUGAGACACGGUCCAGACUCCUAAGGGAGGGAGCAGUAGGGAAUCUUCCGCAAUGGGCGAAAGCCUGACGGAGCAACGCCGCGUGAGUGAUGAAGGUUCUCGGAUCGUAAAACUCUGUUAUUAGGGAAGAACAAAUGUGUAAGUAACUAUGCACGUCUUGACGGUACCUAAUCAGAAAGCCACGGCUAACUACGUG